CGUUGGCAUAGGCUUGUUUUAACGAUACUAGCUAAUAUCGCUUUUAUGCUCUUCAGGCCUUUGUCUUGGGAUCCUAUUGGUUGCUCCUAUAUAUGCGGCUUCUCUGUUCUGAUCCUGAGGUCUGGCUGGGAGUUUGUAGACUCCUGACCUCUCUAGACUCAUCCAUAGUCUUUUUCAUUGUGCAAAGUAUUAUAAAUACUUUGCGCAAUGAAAAAGUGAUACUUAUUUCAUACCAUGAUUCUUAUUUCAACCAAUACUUAUUUCAUUGUGCAAAGUAUUGUAAAUACUUUGUGCAAUGAAAUAAGUAUUGGUUUGUGGAAUGUUGUAGAACAUUAGCCAAUAAAAGAUAGCUACAGAAAGACCCAUGGAUGAGUCUAGGGAGGUUGGGGUCUACAGACUUCCAGUCGGAUUUCGGGAUCGGAGCGGAGAGGCUGCAUAUAUAGGAGUGACCAAUGGGACCUUGGGACGAAGGCUUGAAGAGCAUAAAAG
rnacentral:lncRNA from 1 species